CUCUGCGGAGCUGGAAGGCGGAGGAAGCGAACCCGAGGCUGGCUGGUCAGACGUGUUUGUGUUACAUUCCCGGCUCAUCCGCCACAAAGGCCUCGAGUGUGAAACACGCCGGAUGAAGAGGGGAGAGCCACAUGGGGCCCUGUAGGCUCCGCCUUGCCCGCGUUCCGGGCAGGGGCUCAUUUGCAUAUCGCUACCCAGAAUGCUCUCCUCCAGCUCACAGGUGUCCCGCUGGGGCGGGAGGCGUCAGCGCCGGCUGCCUUUGCAUGCGCUAGCAGCGCCGGCACUCCGGGAUUCGGCAUGGGACGGAGGAGAGGAGGCCAAAAUCUAGUGCUGCAGCUGCGGCAGGGAACACUGUGAGUAAAAGUCAGCGCGAGACUUUCUGUCCCCACCUGUCACUCUGCACGGCGGGUGCUGACAACUUAUCUUGGCAGCGUGAGGGAGAACUCCCAGGUGGGCUUGGAAAGAUCGGCCGUCGCCCCGUCCCUGCCCUCCGGAGAGGAAAAUGAAAAUCCCCUUAGUGCUGACGGUGUUGCUGUCCGUAGCGGCGGCGAGUCUGUGUCACGCCUACUGCGAUGGGAACGAAGAGCCACAGACGGCCAGAGGGCUCCAGAUGAAGGUAGAAAGGGAGGGAAGAGAUGUGAGCCCCUGAACCUCAGCUAUUUCACCGAUUCACCCCCCACCCUGGCGCUCCGGGCUAGUGGCCUAGAAGGGGAGACAUUUUAGUUUUGUGCCUUGGCUCUCCCAGAAAACCGAGCAUCCAUUAGAAACGCCCCAGGAAACUCUGCGGCUGACCGGAGAUCUAGCGGGAUGGGGCACAGUCGUUCAUCAGCUCCCACAUCGUUUGCGCUGAGAGGGGAGGAGGGCUCAGUGUCUUUUCAUUCGAGAUCUUUCACUUUCCGCUGGCGGGGGGUGUUUGCUGGCUUUGGCGCAAGCCUAUUUAACUCCUAUGCCUAACACCUGUGUUGGAGAAAGGAAGUCAUUCCUAAAAUGGGGGGACACUCCAACCCGGUUACAUUAAUGACUUGGAAAAAACAUCUAAAUCUUUCCAAAGUGCCCGAUUCCCACGUGGCAUCACUACAUGCCCUGGUAUCCAAACGAUCCGGCGGGGAUGCCUGGCAGAGACUUGGGAAGCUUACGGCUUGAUUACGGGGUGCCAAUAGCUUUGGGCGGAGAACACCUUCCGUGCCCAGCGCGGAAGCAGAGAAAGGCAGAGCAGGAACCGGCAGCUGCAGGUGCCACCCAGAGCCGGUGACAUGACCAAUUGUUUCACGGUGAGAGCCGGGAGGCUUUGCUUCUCCAGCUCAGGCCGUCCCCAGAUCCGGCCGGUGUGAGCCAGCCCCACAUGACUGCUCUGAGCUGGGUGAAAUUUUCAGGCCUGUGUUUGAGGAGAAGGCGGUCCGGGGGGGUCCCUUCUGAGCCGGAACCACCACCGUGAA